GGUUCGAUAUGCAGUCCAUGCACUACCUACGAGUUAGCUGAUGCUAUUCGGUAUAUAGCCAACUAUUUCCUCGGUGUCCUAUUGACUACUCGGUCAAGUGGCACCACAUCACGGGCUCAUUCAUCUGACUUUCGAACUCCAAGGCACGGGUGUCAGCCGAGCAGCCGAAUGCUUAAUGUGGCCACCAUGCUAUUCCAUCGGAUCACAUCAAGUCAUAUCACCCAGGAGCUAUUUCUGGACGGUUGGUUGCGCGCCAUGAUGGGAAGCCACGAGACCAUUAAUUGCGCCACACACGUGGUAGCAUCCGUCACCACCUGCACACCAAACAAAAAGCACACCCGCCAUGAGAGCCAUUUAAAGAUACCCCAUGCACCUUCGUAGGAUGGGACAUGCUUGGAAUGACCGUCCAUUUUUUCGCCAUUGACCUUAAUCCCUCUAUAAAUAGAGGUAUGUAAGAACCCUUCCAGAUAAGCAAUGCAUACUCUAACACCGAGACUCUGCUCCUAUUGAGCUCCAUCCCUCUGCCACCGCAGAGCAGCAAUGAUGUUGGCCUGCCGUAUGUCGUCAAACCGCUUGUUGUCAAUGAAGCUCUCCGUAUUGGAUGAGGCGUGGGACGUGGGGGUGGAUGAGAUGAUGGCGGCCACC
rnacentral:lncRNA from 1 species